UUAAGCGACUAAGCGUACACGGUGGAUGCCCUGGCAGUCAGAGGCGAUGAAGGACGUGCUAAUCUGCGAUAAGCGUCGGUGAGGUGAUAUGAACCGUUAUAACCGGCGAUUUCCGAAUGGGGAAACCCAGUGUGUUUCGACACACUAUCAUUAACUGAAUCCAUAGGUUAAUGAGGCGAACCGGGGGAACUGAAACAUCUAAGUACCCCGAGGAAAAGAAAUCAACCGAGAUUCCCCCAGUAGCGGCGAGCGAACGGGGAGGAGCCCAGAGCCUGAAUCAGUGUGUGUGUUAGUGGAAGCGUCUGGAAAGGCGUGCGAUACAGGGUGACAGCCCCGUACACAAAAAUGCACAUAUUGUGAGCUCGAUGAGUAGGGCGGGACACGUGGUAUCCUGUCUGAAUAUGGGGGGACCAUCCUCCAAGGCUAAAUACUCCUGACUGACCGAUAGUGAACCAGUACCGUGAGGGAAAGGCGAAAAGAACCCCGGCGAGGGGAGUGAAAAAGAACCUGAAACCGUGUACGUACAAGCAGUGGGAGCCUCUUAAUGGGGUGACUGCGUACCUUUUGUAUAAUGGGUCAGCGACUUAUAUUCUGUAGCAAGGUUAACCGAAUAGGGGAGCCGAAGGGAAACCGAGUCUUAACUGGGCGUUAAGUUGCAGGGUAUAGACCCGAAACCCGGUGAUCUAGCCAUGGGCAGGUUGAAGGUUGGGUAACACUAACUGGAGGACCGAACCGACUAAUGUUGAAAAAUUAGCGGAUGACUUGUGGCUGGGGGUGAAAGGCCAAUCAAACCGGGAGAUAGCUGGUUCUCCCCGAAAGCUAUUUAGGUAGCGCCUCGUGAAUUCAUCUCCGGGGGUAGAGCACUGUUUCGGCAAGGGGGUCAUCCCGACUUACCAACCCGAUGCAAACUGCGAAUACCGGAGAAUGUUAUCACGGGAGACACACGGCGGGUGCUAACGUCCGUCGUGAAGAGGGAAACAACCCAGACCGCCAGCUAAGGUCCCAAAGUCAUGGUUAAGUGGGAAACGAUGUGGGAAGGCCCAGACAGCCAGGAUGUUGGCUUAGAAGCAGCCAUCAUUUAAAGAAAGCGUAAUAGCUCACUGGUCGAGUCGGCCUGCGCGGAAGAUGUAACGGGGCUAAACCAUGCACCGAAGCUGCGGCAGCGACACUAUGUGUUGUUGGGUAGGGGAGCGUUCUGUAAGCCUGUGAAGGUGGCCUGUGAGGGUUGCUGGAGGUAUCAGAAGUGCGAAUGCUGACAUAAGUAACGAUAAAGCGGGUGAAAAGCCCGCUCGCCGGAAGACCAAGGGUUCCUGUCCAACGUUAAUCGGGGCAGGGUGAGUCGACCCCUAAGGCGAGGCCGAAAGGCGUAGUCGAUGGGAAACAGGUUAAUAUUCCUGUACUUGGUGUUACUGCGAAGGGGGGACGGAGAAGGCUAUGUUGGCCGGGCGACGGUUGUCCCGGUUUAAGCGUGUAGGCUGGUUUUCCAGGCAAAUCCGGAAAACCAAGGCUGAGGCGUGAUGACGAGGCACUACGGUGCUGAAGUGACAAAUGCCCUGCUUCCAGGAAAAGCCUCUAAGCAUCAGGUAACAUCAAAUCGUACCCCAAACCGACACAGGUGGUCAGGUAGAGAAUACCAAGGCGCUUGAGAGAACUCGGGUGAAGGAACUAGGCAAAAUGGUGCCGUAACUUCGGGAGAAGGCACGCUGAUAUGUAGGUGAAGCGACUUGCUCGUGGAGCUGAAAUCAGUCGAAGAUACCAGCUGGCUGCAACUGUUUAUUAAAAACACAGCACUGUGCAAACACGAAAGUGGACGUAUACGGUGUGACGCCUGCCCGGUGCCGGAAGGUUAAUUGAUGGGGUUAGCGGUAACGCGAAGCUCUUGAUCGAAGCCCCGGUAAACGGCGGCCGUAACUAUAACGGUCCUAAGGUAGCGAAAUUCCUUGUCGGGUAAGUUCCGACCUGCACGAAUGGCGUAAUGAUGGCCAGGCUGUCUCCACCCGAGACUCAGUGAAAUUGAACUCGCUGUGAAGAUGCAGUGUACCCGCGGCAAGACGGAAAGACCCCGUGAACCUUUACUAUAGCUUGACACUGAACAUUGAGCCUUGAUGUGUAGGAUAGGUGGGAGGCUUUGAAGUGUGGACGCCAGUCUGCAUGGAGCCGACCUUGAAAUACCACCCUUUAAUGUUUGAUGUUCUAACGUUGGCCCGUAAUCCGGGUUGCGGACAGUGUCUGGUGGGUAGUUUGACUGGGGCGGUCUCCUCCUAAAGAGUAACGGAGGAGCACGAAGGUUGGCUAAUCCUGGUCGGACAUCAGGAGGUUAGUGCAAUGGCAUAAGCCAGCUUGACUGCGAGCGUGACGGCGCGAGCAGGUGCGAAAGCAGGUCAUAGUGAUCCGGUGGUUCUGAAUGGAAGGGCCAUCGCUCAACGGAUAAAAGGUACUCCGGGGAUAACAGGCUGAUACCGCCCAAGAGUUCAUAUCGACGGCGGUGUUUGGCACCUCGAUGUCGGCUCAUCACAUCCUGGGGCUGAAGUAGGUCCCAAGGGUAUGGCUGUUCGCCAUUUAAAGUGGUACGCGAGCUGGGUUUAGAACGUCGUGAGACAGUUCGGUCCCUAUCUGCCGUGGGCGCUGGAGAACUGAGGGGGGCUGCUCCUAGUACGAGAGGACCGGAGUGGACGCAUCACUGGUGUUCGGGUUGUCAUGCCAAUGGCACUGCCCGGUAGCUAAAUGCGGAAGAGAUAAGCGCUGAAAGCAUCUAAGCACGAAACUUGCCCCGAGAUGAGUUCUCCCUGACUCCUUGAGGGUCCUGAAGGAACGUUGAAGACGACGACGUUGAUAGGCCGGGUGUGUAAGCGCAGCGAUGCGUUGAGCUAACCGGUACUAAUGAACCGUGAGGCUUAACCUU
rnacentral:rRNA from 1 species